rnacentral:rRNA from 1 species
UUGAACGCUGGCGGCAUGCUUUACUCAUGCAAGUCGGACGGCAGCACAGAGAAGCUUGCUUCUUGGGUGGCGAGUGGCGAACGGGUGAGUAACAUAUCGGAACGUACCGAGCAGUGGGGGAUAACUAAUCGAAAGAUUAGCUAAUACCGCAUAUUUUCUGAGGAAGAAAGCAGGGGACCUUUGGGCCUUGCGCUGUUUGAGCGGCCGAUAUCUGAUUAGCUAGUUGGUGGGGUAAAGGCCUACCAAGGCGACGAUCAGUAGCGGGUCUGAGAGGAUGAUCCGCCACACUGGGACUGAGACACGGCCCAGACUCCUACGGGAGGCAGCAGUGGGGAAUUUUGGACAAUGGGCGCAAGCCUGAUCCAGCCAUGCCGCGUGUCUGAAGAAGGCCUUCGGGUUGUAAAGGACUUUUGUCAGGGAAGAAAAGGGCGGGGUUAAUACCCCUGUCUGAUGACGGUACCUGAAGAAUAAGCACCGGCUAACUACGUG